UGGGUAACCUGCCUCAAAGAGGGGAAUAGCCUCCCGAAAGGGAGAUUAAUACCGCAUAAUAUGUUUUGAUCGCAUGAUCAAAACAUCAAAGGAUACUUCUUCGUGAGAAGAAGCUUCCACUUUGAGAUGGACCCGCGGCGCAUUAGCUAGUUGGAGAGGUAACGCUCACCAAGGCAACGAUGCGUAGCCGACUGAGAGGGUGAUCGGCCACAUUGGAA
rnacentral:rRNA from 1 species